UCACGUUAUAAAAUUCAUAUAAGCACCAUCUAAAUCAAUUAGAUGCUCUUUACAAUUGCACCAUACGGACAACCCUCUUUAAGGCAACUAUCUUGCAAUUUUAGUCUUGGUUUGGUGGGGUUUUUGGUUGUAAAGGUGUUGGGAAGGCUUCUCUCCAGUUUAUCCUAUUCUUUUUCUCCAAGUAAUUAAGGAUUGGCGUGCGAGUUGUCAUAAGCUUGUUGUGGAGUUGCAUUGAUGACUUGAGGUAUAGAUAGACGAGGCGAGGACCCUCCAUCGUAGGCUGCCUCCAGAUAUCAGCUUCAGUUUGUGAUGUCUAUGACAAGGAAAGCUAUAGCUAGUCAAAAGGGUAAAGCAGUGGCCGAUGAGGGCAUCAGUAGAGCACUUGUGGCUAGUGAGGGCUAGAGUGAGGCCCCGAGGAGAAGUGUGAUAGCCUCACAUAGUUCUACGACUCCGCCAGGACCCAAAAGCUGAGGAGGAACUCCUUACCUCUAGUUCCUCCACCCGUUGCUCAUGAUGAGAAUAUAGAUAUGUGGAGUGCAGUACGAUUUGUUGACUAGAUUGGUAGCCGCUCAGGCUCAGCUCCAGGGAUCAUUCGGAUGUGUGGGGCGCUAGCUGUGGCGCAAUUAACAGCAGCUAAAAUAUUAGAGCGCCAGCGCCCCACGCUGCCCUGGAUGCUCAAAAACGUGAACAUGUCCUAUUUCGAUCGGGACUCGGUUAUUUUGACCCCAAGAUGCCCCAACUCAUAUAAAAGCCAACCUAAACCUAUUUUAAAAGGAGGAGGAUGUUUUUGAGAGGAAAACACAAGCACAGAGCCGUCGUGGAGGCCAGAAUUCAUCAAGUUCCAUCUUUCUCUCACCAAACUUAGUAAUUUUUAUGUUUCUUUGUAUGAUUUGUUGUUUGGC